UUCACCAUGCUAACCUUAACCCUAGAGCAAACCAUCAGCCGCCACCUUCACUACUCCCCUUCUCCAGCCGCCGCCGUCGCGCCACCUACCUCUUCGCCAUCAGAACUCCAUCGCCACUGUCGGGCGACGCGCAUAACCGAGGAAGAACCACCAAAAGCGGUCAAAUGAAGCGGUAUCGACUGGAAAUCGGAGAUGUUGUGGCCACCAUCCUCCUGCUUUCCGACGUCUCUUUUUCAGGCGUUGCGUAUCAACCCCGUAGGCAUCGACGCUGCUCAUCUCCGUCGAAGACGUGGGUGUCCCCAGGCUCUAGGCUGCAGUUGUUGUUGUUAAUCGCCGACAGCCAUCGCUAUGGCCGCUAGUGCCGUCGCUGCCUUCACCGUGCGUCACUAGGUGGGGGGGGCUACGUUUGUUUGGGCGUAAAGGUCGAGUAUUGGUGUUUCGUAUCGUGAUUUGAGAGUUUCUAUCGGCUGGAACCACCAUGGCGCCCAACCAUGAUGGCUGCCACCUUCUACCACCACCAGCCACCAUAGGGUGGUUGUGUGUGUGUUUAUGUUGUUUAGUUUCAGGAAUUUGUCAUCUAGCAGCCGGGGUUGAGUCUGCGGGACUUCAGCAGUGUGGGAUUGUGUCUACGGGACUUCAGCAGUGUGAGGCAGUGUUGUAAAACUCGCCGAGUUGGCCGAUUACUCCUCCGAGUACUCGCUACUCGGCCCCUUACCGAGGCGAGUUACAAUUUCCCGAGUACUCCCCGAUCGGUCCCUUACUGAACUGAGCAGUGUUGUAAAACUCGGUCAACUCGGUGAUUAAUAUGUAUAAUAUACUUAAUGAUUUAUUAUUUAACACACACACACAUGGAUUAUUACUAUAUAUAUAUUAAAUUUUCAGUAAUUAUUCACGAA